AACGACUCUCGGCAACGGAUAUCUCGGCUCUCGCAUCGAUGAAGAACGUAGCGAAAUGCGAUACUUGGUGUGAAUUGCAGAAUCCCGUGAACCAUCGAGUCUUUGAACGCAAGUUGCGCCCGAAGCCUUCAGGCCAAGGGCACGUCUGCCUGGGUGUCACA
rnacentral:rRNA from 1 species